GAUUGACAGGUCCUAUGGAGGAGGCAGCAGAGACUCUGCUCUCCUCGUUUGGAUUAAUUCUGAUAUAAUAACUGUUGGUUUAUUUAUCGGUGCAGCAGCAGAACAUUUUCCACAGACAGUUUUCCUGCCCGUUGGCUUGUUUUAACCAGUUUUCUACCUUCGGCUGAUUCUACCAGCAGACACUGAAAGGACUCUGAUAGUUCAAGUGAAAGUAGCAGUUCCUCCUGAAGGUCAGAGAUCGCAGCAUCUGAGGGCCUCUUCAAAAGAAGACGUAGUUGAUGAAGGCGUUCUGGAGCAGGACCAGAAAGACCACGACCAAGCAGCCUUGAGAUCUUAGGCAGCGUCUCCCUCAGGUCCCUCUCUAUCUCCCCACAUCCACCAACCACUGGAACACAUCUCCAAAGUUCUGCUGGACCAGCUCAGCUUCCCCUCAGAAGAAGUGCUGCCACCUGCCAGAUGAAGGAGCCUUUUGAGAGGCAGCUGGCAUCGUGAUUGGACUGUACUUUGGUUUGUUCCAAUCCAGCUUCAGCUCCAGAGACGGCAGGCGGGACGAGUCAACGGAGGCCGGGUGGACAAAGGCAUGAAGCUGAGUACAAUCCAGAAAACAACAGAGGAGGAGUGCAGCGGCCCAGAGCCAGAACAACCAGAGUAGCAUGGUAUGUCUCUUAGAAAACAUCAUAGUAUAGCCUUUGGUAUGAAAAAACACCAUCAUAUACAUCGUAUAUUGUACAAAUAACAAGUCAAAGGAAAGAGAC
ensembl:lncRNA